UUAGUACUCCCUCCGUCCGGAAAUACUUGUCGGAGAAAUGAAUAAAAAUUGAUGUAUUUAGAACUAAAAUACAUCUAGAUACAUCCAUUCCUCCGACAAGUAUUUUCGGACGGAGGGAGUAUAUA
rnacentral:pre_miRNA from 1 species